CAGUAGCCGCGGUAAUACGUAUGUCACAAGCGUUAUCCGGAUUUAUUGGGCGUAAAGCGCGUCUAGGUGGUUAUGUAAGUCUGAUGUGAAAAUGCAGGGCUCAACUCUGUAUUGCGUUGGAAACUGUGUAACUAGAGUACUGGAGAGGUAAGCGGAACUACAAGUGUAGAGGUGAAAUUCGUAGAUAUUUGUAGGAAUGCCGAUGGGGAAGCCAGCUUACUGGACAGAUACUGACGCUAAAGCGCGAAAGCGUGGGUAGCAAACAGGAUUAGAUACCCCCAGUAGUCCCUGUCUCUUAUAC
rnacentral:rRNA from 1 species